AAUACAAUACAAAACAUUGAGAAACUAUAAUUUAACAACAAAACAAGUUUUGGAUUACUGGACAGUAACACGCAAAGACAGCUGAACACUGAAAGACUGUGGUAGAUAAGCUAUUGUUCAAAGCUCUAGCCCAUGGGAUUAGAAGGCCAUGACUUAGUGAAGAUAAUAAACUACUGCAGUUUAACACAAUCCUCAAGGGGAAGUGAUCUGGCAUUACUGAAAUACUUGGAGCAAUUCCUCUGUAUGGCAGCUGUGGCCCGCACCUUUAUAUAUAUCGGACAUAAUGGUGAGCCAGGUAGGAUGACCAUGACCUUAAAUAGAUCAAUUUAUAUUUGCUGUUUGAGACAGUCUUACUGGCACUAGUAUUUAAGCAUAGAGAACAGAAUACCUAAAGAAACAGCCAGGAUCUGAAAGGAAGAGGCAGUACCUAUUCCCCCUCCGAGGUCCUGCCUGUAUCAUGGAACUAGAGAAUUCCUAAAACCCUCAGAAAUCUUAGAGGAAUCAUUAUUAGUAGGCUAAGAAAUUUGAAUCCAGGGCAAACAUUUGAAGCUUUUGUAAAGUCCCACCUCUUGGAAACAUGUAAUGACCAAUGACUUCCACUUCAUUAAGAAGCAAAGAAGUUCCUAGGUUCGUGAUUACAGACAGAGCCUGAAAACACGAAGGAAAACAAAUCCCCAUACCCCCCGAGGGGUCUGAUACAAUUAUAAGAACUGAUUCAUGGCUUUUAAAUGCUUGAAGGUAAUAAUAACACUAAUCAUCAUCAUCAUCAUCUUAACCAGCCUUUAUUUCUCAGAUUAAAUAAGCACACAAACUCAGAGCCUGGGGAUUAAACAAGUGUUACUGCAUCCAUGGCUGGUGUUAGAGACUUUUGAAAGGCAAGGGUGACAGCCAAGUACAUGGCAGAAGUGACAUAGGAACUUACACAAGAUUCUGAAUUACUGGGUAGCCAUUAGUUAAAUAAAGCUUUAUGCAGUUUGCGCUGCAUGCAAGGGCUCAGUUGCAAGUGUUUCCCAAAUUCUGGUGGGUUUUUUUUGACAAUUACACAUUUCAUUCCUCUUAGUUUCAUGGAACAUAGAGAAGACCUCAAUACUGCAGAUCUGAAUGUACCUGAAAAGCUUAGCUCCCACUCCCCAAAACACACAAAGUAUACAUUUUGUAUCAUUUUUUUUUUUUUUUCUUGUAGAAAUCAGCAGCAUUUGCACUGUACUUCAGAGCAGUGCUUGCUUGGAGACAUUGGGAAAUGCUUUCUGAACUUUACUGUGGCUGACUUAGUGUCAGCAGUUCUAAUGAAGUGACACCCUGUGUCUUCCUACAACUUUUCCAUGUAGGUAGAAUAUCACCUUCAGAAACAGAUCUUUCUGAUUUACUAGAAAGCAUUUACCAUUGUAUUGGCUGUUGAAAACUAUUCCAGGCGUGCCAUUCCUGCCCACUGAGUAUCAUGGCGAAUCAUUUUAUAAUGUCACCAUUCAGUUAGUAAAACCUAGACUGUAGCUUGACUGAAGGAUUUGAAAUAAAAUGACCUGCUAGUUCCCAGUCAUAAAUCACAGCUGCAGGUGCUUAAGACUGAAACCUGAUCCUGAAACCUGAGCAGUGUCAAUACACAGCCUGAACCUACAAACAAAGCUCUGUGCUGCUUAACAAAAACACAAAUUGUUUUUUGUUGUUUUUUUUUUUUGUUUUGUUUUGGGUUUUUUUUUUUUUUGGUGUUUGGUUGGUUGUUUUUAUUUUCUUUUUUUUAGGAUGGGAGGGGGAAUUCAGAAAAUUGCAACUAGAGUUACAAGUAUCUAACCUGUAUUCAUCCUCUCAUUUUUGAAAGUACUUUUGGUAUAAUGACACUGAAAAUCAUCUACUUCAGUUGGGUAGUUGCUUUUCAAAGUAAUGAAUGAGUGAAAAUGAACAGCAUGCAAGUUAGCUAAGGUAAAAAAAAAAAACAAACCAAACUACAUUUCCGUCUAUAUUGACAGAUAAAAAUUAAGUUUAGCUUCCACCACACCAGAGGUCUUUGAGGGUUAUCUGGUUGAAAAGCAGAAUUUUGACAAAACACUACAUUUGGACUGGCACCGCCUUAAAGUCUACCAUUAGAACUGAACAAAUUCAUUAAGAUUUUACCCUGCAUGAACAUUUUCCUCAGUUCUUCAUGUUGGCUUAUUGGGAUCGGCAUGACAACUUUCUAUUUAUCGCUGAUGUUGGAAAGGCAUGUUCAACUUUUAUUAUCUCAAAGGAAAUUAGAUUUAGAAAAGUAGCACAAAUUAAAUGUUUAAUAAAACAGCUUACUUGUUAUUUUCAUAGGACUGUUGUUUCUACAGCUGUAUCACUAAUACAAUGUGCUUCAGAGACCUCAGAGUUCCUGAAGAUAAAGCCAACGUUGAUGACAUGCAGUAGCAGCUGUCACAGAAGAUAUGCUCUGUAUGUAUUCCAAGAUAACACACACUACUCCCCAAGCUCUCAUCCUGUUGCUGAAGAAUAUGCUCAAAAAGGAUGUUACAACUCUUCAAUACAGGAAGAAAAGACACACAUCGGAAGAGUUAAUACUUCUGUUUGCGAGUCCCAAAUACAGUGGUCUGAACUCUACCCGAUGUGACAUUCUAGCGGCUGAGAUCCUUGAAAUAUUUGAGACUGACAGACCAGUCUCUUCCAAGAUAUGAGCAAAAUAAAACACCAGCUAAUUGUAAGCCAAACUGUGAGUCUAAAAAUAAACUGUUGGAAAAGA